rnacentral:rRNA from 1 species
CCUACGGGAGGCAGCAGUGGGGAAUAUUGGGCAAUGGGCGCAAGCCUGACCCAGCAACGCCGCGUGAAGGAAGAAGGCUUUCGGGUUGUAAACUUCUUUUGUCAGGGACGCAGCAAGUGACGGUACCUGACGAAUAAGCCACGGCUAACUACGUGCCCGCAGCCGCGGUACUACGUAGGUGGCAAGCGUUAUUCGGAUUUACUGGGGGUAAAGGGCGUGUAGGCGGGACUGCAAGUCAGAUGUGAAAACCACGGGCUCAACCUGUGGCCUGCAUUUGAAACUGUAGUUCUUGAGUACUGGAGAGGCAGACGGAAUGCCUAGUGUAGCGGUGAAAUGCGUAGAUAUUAGGAGGAACACCAGUGGCGAAGGCGGUCUGCUGGACAGCAACUGACGCUGAGGCGCGAAAGCGUGGGGAGCAAACAGGAUUAGAUACCCUAGUAGUC